GGCCGGCUCCCAUCCGCCGCGGGCCUCUUUCUCAUGGUAAUGAGGCCCCGGGCGCCCUCCCUUCCGCCCACCCUCCACGCCCUCCCCUGCGCUCGCGCCCCCGCGCCUUGUCGGGGCCGCCUUCUCGGCGGAGCAGACAAAGCCCGCGGCCGCGACGGGCCGGGAAGGGUGCCGGACCGAGGGGGGGCCCGGGCCAAGGAUGGGGUCCCUCACCCCCGAGGAGCGAGCUGCGGCCCACCACACCCCCUCCCGGCUCCCAGUGUCGGGAGUCCCAGCGACGCCGGCUGGGAGGAGCCUGAAUUGGAGGAAGUGUGGUACCAGGGACCAUGGGACUCUGCUGGGGAAAGUUCCUACUGUGGACCAGCUAGCUACUUCCUGUUGAGCUCCUGGGAUGUGCUAGCCACUGGAGGAGGUUCUGAUCCAUCCUGUGUCACUUGAAGUCACUUCUAGGUCUGCUUGCUGAAAUAAGAUGAUGCCAGACAAACAACAGAUAAUGCCCAAAAUAAGUCCUGCUAAGCACCGGAGUCAGGCAGUCUCUCUAUACACACACAUCCACAUACACAGGCUCACACACUUGAACCAGGCUCUUGGCCUUGAGGGUAACAAAAGACCCUGGUGAGCUGUUGAGGUUAGCUGUAUGUGCACUGUGUAUCUAUGGAUGGACACACACACACACACACACACACACACACACACAGACCUGGCUGCAGGGCAGGAAAGGUGACCCAAGUCAGGUGUGGUGGCACACACCUGUGAUCCCAACACCCUGGAGGCCGAG
rnacentral:lncRNA from 1 species